GACGAACGCUGGCGGCGUGCCUAAUACAUGCAAGUAGAACGCUGAAGGAAGGAGCUUGCUCUUUCUGGAUGAGUUGCGAACGGGUGAGUAACGCGUAGGUAACCUGCCUGGUAGCGGGGGAUAACUAUUGGAAACGAUAGCUAAUACCGCAUGAAAUGGAUUAUCGCAUGAUAAUUCAUUGAAAGGUGCGAAUGCAUCACUACCAGAUGGACCUGCGUUGUAUUAGCUAGUUGGUGGGGUAACGGCUCACCAAGGCGACGAUACAUAGCCGACCUGAGAGGGUGAUCGGCCACACUGGGACUGAGACACGGCCCAGACUCCUACGGGAGGCAGCAGUAGGGAAUCUUCGGCAAUGGGGGGAACCCUGACCGAGCAACGCCGCGUGAGUGAAGAAGGUUUUCGGAUCGUAAAGCUCUGUUGUUAAGGAAGAACGAGUGUGAGAAUGGAAAGUUCAUACUGUGACGGUACUUAACCAGAGAGGGACGGCUAACUACGUGC
rnacentral:rRNA from 1 species